CUUGCCUCGCACGACUGGCGCGGGUGGGCAACCACCGGGGAGUGCGAGCAGAGCAGACAUCGACCGCCUGGGUGUCCCUC
rnacentral:ncRNA from 2 species